rnacentral:rRNA from 1 species
GACGAACGCUGGCGGCGUGCUUAACACAUGCAAGUCGAGCGGAAAGGCCACUUCGGUGGUACUCGAGCGGCGAACGGGUGAGUAACACGUGAGUAAUCUGCCCCUGGCUUUGGGAUAGCCACCGGAAACGGUGAUUAAUACCGGAUACGACCACUUCUCGCAUGGGAUGGUGGUGGAAAGUUUUUUCGGCCAGGGAUGUGCUCGCGGCCUAUCAGCUUGAUGGUGAGGUAAUGGCUCACCAUGGCUUCGACGGGUAGCCGGCCUGAGAGGGUGACCGGUCACACUGGGAAUGGGACACGGCCCAGACUCCUACGGGAGGCAGGAGUGGGGAAUAUUGGACAAUGGGCGGAAGCCUGAUCCAGCAACGCCGCGUGAGGGAUGACGGCCUUCGGGUUGUAAACCUCUUCCAGCUGGGACGAAGCGCAAGUGACGGUACCUGCAGAAGAAGCACCGGCCAACUACGUGCCAGCCGCCGCCGUAA